AUGGCUCAGAUUGAACGCUGGCGGCAGGCUUAACACAUGCAAGUCGAACGGUAGCGGGAAGAAAGCUUGCUUUCUUUGCCGACGAGUGGCGGACGGGUGAGUAAUGCUU
rnacentral:rRNA from 1 species